GGCAAGACUGGGGGCAAACCUGUGCUGCUGCUGCUGCCAGGAUCCUACUGAGUUUGGGGAAAGGGAAGGAUUUGCUGUAUUGGUGACCAUGUGGUCAGAUACUGGAACUUGCAGCAUGUUUCUAAACUUGACAUUGUGAAACAAGGGCUCAGACCAGUUCACUGAGCCUUGUGAGACACAGGCACUGCCUGCACCAUGGGCUGAUAAACUGCAGCAUGUGACCUCAGUGUGCCCUAUCAUCCUCUGCUCCAGCCAUCCCUCUGCUCCACAGCCUUCCUCUGAGCCCAUUUUGCAUGUCUCUGUUUAGAUGAAUGCUGAUUUAUUGCAGCAAGCUGUUGAAGUUUUGAUUCAUCCUGCAGGUUCUUGUUCACUGAAAAUCACUUUUUAAGUUACUUGCCGAGAUCUUUAAUAAGGAAUUUCCACUUUUGUGACAAGAUCUGGUUUCAAAUGGGUUCUGGCACGUGGUGUUGAAUUGAAAAUAGCUGUAACUUGCUUACAGCAUUGUUAGAGUCUCCAGGGAUAAUGAUGCAACUAAAGCUUCUGCUCUGUUCACUUUGAAACUCUUGCUCUAUUGCUGGAGACUCUGCUCUGUGUGAUGGACAGUUGUAAUUAGUGACACUUUUGCAUGUUUGCUGUUUCUGAAAGAAAGCAAAUAGGGCCUAAAAUAAUUUUUACUUUGAAUAAGGAUUUCUUCCCCUGUAUGUCUUAAGUUUCCCACAGCCUGCUUCCUCAGCUCCACUGAAAGACACCAUGUUUUCUCAUGAUCUCCUGCUGGAUGUUUGGCUAAUUUGCUGAGACUUCUAUUUUGAAACAAAAGUGAUGUUGGUCUUCUGAAAAACAGGGAAUGUGUUACAUUUUCUAGUCUUUUUUGUGUCACCUUUCUCUCAACCACUUUAUUUCUGUGUUGUUGUAAAUUAUUAACUUUUGAACACAGAGAUAUUGUUGCCUCUAACUCUUCUCCUGCCCUUUGAGUUGCAGGGUUGCUUUUAUUGGCAGCAUGCACUGAGAAAUCAUGUUGGCCACUUACAGCCCUGAAAUUGUAAUAGUUUAUCCCAUUACAUGGUGAUUUUUUCCAGCUCGGUUCUCCUGAGAACCUUGAAAUGGGCUUUCCAUAAAAACAUUCCAGCCACUCUUUUUCUUUUAAAGGCUAUAGUCAAAUUUGAAGGGAUAAUCUGGCCAUUGUUUCUUGUGGUAUACAUGUUCUACCCUGAUGAUUUUGUAAAUUAUAGAGGAUUUUUAUUUUUAUAAUGCAGUCCGGGUCACUGAGAACUGGAGGAAUGAGCUUGCUCGUUCUUUGGCUGCAAGCAGACACACGUCAUUAGCAUCUUAACUGAUGGAAACUUUUCCGUGAAAAAUGCACACACUCUUAAUGCUUUUAAUCUGCACAAGCACUCCAUGAGUUUCCAAUAAGCUGUAAUAAAAGGUUUAGGUGUCUUAUACCUACAUUUCCUCAAUGGCUCACAGUACCAUCCUCAGGAAUGUAUUCCAAGUGCACUCUGCUUUGUGACUGGUUGUUUUGUCAUCUUCCUUUCUCUGUAGCUGUUGUGAGUAUUGUCUGAGAACCAGAACUGUUGAAUUUGGACUGACAGCACAGUAUGCUGCUACUUUCAAACUGCUUGGGCCCUCGUGUUCAUUAUGAUUCAGGAUGGCAAGUAUUUGUCAGGAAAGAACAAAUGAACUAGAACAAGAAUUCACUUGCAUUGAAUAAAUACGGCCUAAUUACACCUGGUGAAGCAGUGUCCUUUUGCUCGAGCGGGGAGUUGCCACACUGCUGCAAAGGCAAAACAUGGCCAGGAGAACAGAAAGGGUCAAGCAGAGCCAUGGAGUUCCUGGGACAAGCAGGAGCAGUGUGUGUACUUGUGACCCCAUUGUCUCCAUGUGCACACUUCCUGGGAUGUGGUGGUAGGGUUUGUCUGUGAUGAAUAAUUCAGGUGGUGACAUCAUGUCAGUAUAUGUCCUUCUCCUUCCUCAAUGCCUACUCAAGAAUUGUUGCUCAUGGUUCAAAAUAGCUAUAAGACAAUAAAUUCCAACCAAUUCUUGGUGAAAGAGGAAAUAGAAAUUAAAAAAAUUUCCUGUCCCAGACUGUGGCCUGUCAUCCUGUUGGGGUCUGUGAAGAUGAGGUGCAAUAUGUGACAACCUACACAUCCUGUAGGAGCAAAUCACACAUUCGGAGAUCUGCGGAGUUUCCAGGACAAUCCAGAUGGGUUCAUGAGAAAUGACGGGAGAAAAUAAAGGUAAUAUUGAUUGCUACAGAGCCUGAGCCUUCGGAUACUGCUAAUGAUUUGAGUAAGAUUGGAUUUGGAUUUGGCCCAAAAUACUUUUGGCUAGUGAAGAUUAUACUGUCUUCAGCUAGAGGGGCGGGUGUUGAAAUGGGAGUGC